CAGGUUUGAUUUCUUUGUCCUAAUAUCAUUAUCCUCUUCUACUCUUUUUCUUUUUCCUAAACAUAUUCUUAAAUUUGAAAUAGUUAAAAUUUUGCUUCGAAUUUGAGAAGAUUCUUAUUAUUUUGUGUUUGUGAUACCAAAAGUAGAUAUCAAUUGCAAAGAACAGAGUAACAGGAAGAGGGAUAGAAGAAGAGUAGAGAAGAGAAGAAGUUAGGAGAAGAGAAAAUAGAGAAGAUGGAGAAAGAGCUAGAGGAUAACUAUUUCAUUGACAUUCAAAAAGUGUGAUUACAACUUGAGGAGCUGCUACUUAUACUAUUUUGGAAAUAAAGAAAAUAUAUAAAUGAGCUGGAAUUAAUAAAAUGUAAAACAUACCUUGUAACUAAUUUUCCCGCCAAAUAACUACUUUGAUAUAAUUGAAUUUCCAGCCAAAUUAGGAUUUAAUCAGUAAUAGUUGUAUCAAUACUCCCCUGUGGAGCUACACCCUUGUCCUCAAGGGUGAAUGAAGGAAACCUGGUCUUCAAAAUUGAUACUAAUUCCCAAGUAGCAUAUGAAGGGUCCAGGUCUGUCCAUUUGGCCAACCACUGAGCUAUGGCCUUGUUACCACAUUUGAUCAUUUUCUUAUCUAACACUACUUCAGGAGUAGGACAAAGAGGGCUGGCCAAAUUGAUCACUGGAGAAUGAAUAAUCUCAGAAGGAAAAACAUGGAAGUACGUGAGUUGGGAAAUAUGAAAUGUAGGAUGCAACAAAACUUCAGGAGGAAACAAAAGAGUAUAAGCUACUGCACCAACCUUCGCAACUAUAGGAUAAGGUCCAAAAUAACUAGAAGUGAGCUUAUGAUAGGGAAAAGAAGUUAAGGAUGAUUGUCUAUAAGUAUGGAGUUACACAAAUAUCCAAUCACCUACUGCAAGCUGUCUAUCAGUUCUAUGAGAAUACGCCUAAGCUCUCAUUCCCUGUUGAGCUCUCAUAAGAUAAAACUUAGACAUUUGCAACUUGAAUUCUCUGGAAAGAAGCACUUCUUCAACAGAAAUUGUGGAUGAAUCACUAGGUAAGUAAGAAAGAUGCAGGGAAGGUGGAAAACCAUACAAAGGUUCAAAAGGAGAUGUUUUGAUAGAAGAGUGAUAAGAAGAGUUGUACCACCAUUUAACUAGAAAAGAAACCCAAUCAUGAGAAGAAUCUAAACAAAAGCAUCUUAAAUAAGUCUUCAGGCACCUAUUUAGGAAUUCACUUUGGCCAUCAGUUUGUGGAUGGUAGGCAGUGGAAGCUUGCAAAGUGAUCCCCUGAGCAGUAAGGAACUCCUUCCAAAAGGAACUGAUAAAGAUGGGAUCCCUAUCACUAGUGAUGGAAGCCGAAAAUCCAUGAAGUUUAAAAAUGCGAUCUUAAAAAAUAGAAAUAAAGGAUUGAGCUGUAUAAGGAUGGGAAAGAGGAAUGAAGUGUCCAUAUUUGGUAUGUCGAUCAACAAUUACCCAAAUGACAGUUUUAGUCUUGGAUUUUGGAAGCCCUUCAAUGAAAUCCAUGGUAAUAUCAGUCUAAGGCAGAGAGGGAAUAGGGAGACGUUGUAUAAGACCAGGAUACAGCAAUGUCAUAGUUGUUCCUCUGACAGGUAGUGCAUUCAUGAAUGAAGUCCAAGAUAUCCUUCCUAAGGACCUUCCAGUAAAAAUAAGCUAAUACUUUCCUGGUAGUAGUAUCAAUACCAGAGUGCCCCCUGUUGGAGUAGAAUGCUAAAGUGAGAUGAUCUUGGUUCUCAGUGUUGUAUCUUUUCCCACCAAUAACUUACCUUUCCUCCUAAACUGACCAUUGAGCCAAGUGAAAGAGCUUUGAGGAGAAGAAGUGAGCGAUUGAAUGAGUGUUUGUAACUCAGGAUCAGCAGACCAGCUAGCUUCAAUCUCCUUCUAGAGAGUAGCUUGAAUAGGAGAUACCAUAAUAGACAUGAGCUCAGCUUCAUGAAUCCUAGAUAAUGCAUCAGCAACAACAUUUUCCUUGCCUUUCUUAUAUUGAACCUCAAAAUCAAAAGAAAGAAGCCUAGCAAGCCAUCUAACUUGUGAAUCAGUGUGUAUUUUUUUUAAUCAAGUAAGAACUUUAGAGCCUUCUGAUCCGUUCUUACAAUAAAGUAUUGUCCCAUCAAAUAAUAUGACCAUUUGGUCACAGCAAACACCAACACUAAAAGUUCCCUUUCAUAGACAAACAAGGCAAUAUGUUUAGGGGCCAAACCUUUACUAAUAAAGGCUAUAGGAUGUCCUGAUUGCAUCAAAACCGCACCAAUGCCGAAGCCACUAACAUCAGUUUCAACAAUAAAGGGAAUAGCAUUAUUUGGAAGAUCCAAAACAGGAGCUGUAAUGAGGGUAGACUUCAGAGUAAGAAAGGCAUAUUCAGCUUCUUCUGACCAAUGAAAAUUAUCCCUUUUUAAGAGAUCUGUGAGAGGUCUACUGAUAAGUUCAUAACUUUGGAUAAACUUCCAAUAGUAACUAGAUAAUCCAAGAAACCCUUUCAAUUGCUUCAGUGUAGUAGGUUGAGGCCAAGACUGAAUAGCUGUAAUUUUCUUAAGAUCAGUGGCCACACCACCUUUGGAAAUAAAGUGGCCUAGAUACUCAACAUUAGCAACACCAAAAUCACAUUUAAAUCUCUUAGCAAAUAAGCUAUGUUGUACCAUCACAUCAAAUACUUGUUGCAAGUGAGAUACAUGAUCCUGUAAGGACAAAUUAUUAAUUAAAAUACCGUAAAAAAGGACCAGCACAAACUUUCUCAAGAAUGGUUGGAACAAGUGGUUCAUAAGACACUGGAAGGUUGAGGGAGCAUUGGUUAAGCCGAAGGGCAUAACCAAAUAUUCAUAAUAUCCCAUGUGACUUCUAAAGGCAGUCUUGGGUACAUCUUCAGGCACUAUUCUGAUUUGGUGAUAUCCAGACCUAAGAUCAAUUUUAGAAAAGAUAGAUGCACCAGCUAGUUUAUCUAAGAGAUCAUCAAUAAUAGGAAUGGGAAAUUUAUCCUUCACAGUGGCAUUGUUCAGUUCCCUAUAAUCCACUCAUAGCCUCCAAGUACCAUCCUUCUUGCCUACAAGUACUAUUGGAGAGGAAAAUGGGCUAUUAAUGUACUGAAUUACACCUUGAUCCAACAUGUCCUUUACUAGUGUUUCCACAAUGUCCUUUUUCAUGGAAGAAUACCUAUAAGGUCUUAAGUUGAUGGGUUUAGUCCCAGGCUGUAGGGGAAUUCGAUGAUCAAAAGGUCCUCUUCUAGGAGGUAAAGCUACAUAAUUACUAAAGAUUUUGUUGUAUUGAAGAAGAAGCUGAUCAAUAACAGAGGAAACUGUAUUGGUGCUACUCAACUGCAAAUCAUGAAAAUGACCCUCGGUAACCUCAUCAGAACUGAUUAGUUGAACCUGUAACAUGAACAUCUGAACAUCUUCACUGUUCCAUUUAUUCACAGCCUUAGUAGUAAGUGUUUGCAUUCCCCCCCCCCCCCCCAAUAAGUGAUGUUUACCUUGAUAGUAAAAAAGACAUAGUUAGGGCAUUAAAAUCCAUAGUUACUGGUCCCAUUGUCUUCAUCCACAAAGCACCAAGAACCACAUCAUAUCUAUCCACUUGAAACACAAGCAAGUCAGUAGUAUAAGUAGUACCCUAGAGAAUCCACUAAAAAUUUCUCAAAACCACCUCAUAUGUAGUUUCCAUGGAGUUAUUCCCUAAAUUCACAUACCCUACCUUAGUUGGAAUAAUUUGAUAACCAAGUCAUUUAGCAUCUUCAACAUCAAUAAAAUUAUGAGUACUACCACCAUCCAACAAUACCUGUAAAGGUCGCUUACAACUAUACCCCACCACAUGAAUAGUUUAAGCACUUGCAAGCAACUCAAGGCAUAAAGAGAUAUAAGAGGAUUGUCAACAACAACUUUUGACCAUUCAGCAGUAGAGACAAUAGUUUCAGUAGCAAGUGAUGACUCUUCAAGAGGCUCCUCAUCAGGGUACUGCGAAUCCAUGACAAACAACUGCUUAGGUAGAGGGCACUUAUGACCAAACAUGUACUUUUCGUCACAAAAGUAACAUAAACCCUUGGCUUUUUUGGCCUGCAAUUCAGCUGGUGAUAUAUGGUUCUUAUAAACUUGGAAAAAGUAGGUUGAUGUUGGUUAUUUAGAGGAUUGGCAUGUGGUCCUUUAUGUGGGUGACUAGUGGGAAAGGAGGAUGGUUUGGGCAAGGCUAGGUCAGUAGGCAAAUUUUUUCAAAAAGGUUGGAGAGGAACAUGUAGUAAGGACGGUUUUGGGGAUCUGUGAGAAACAGCUAGAGAAGCUUCAGCUAAGCGAGCUAGUCUAUAGUUUUUUUGGCAAGGUUUGUGGUUCAUACAUCAUGACUAAAUUAACUAAUUCAUCCUUCAGGCCACCGAGGUAACAGGAAAUGACUUGGUCAAUAGUGAGACUGCAUUGGGCUAACAAUCUAUCAAAAGCAAAUUGGUAUUCCCUAACAGAACCAGUUUGCCUCAAUUAUGUCAAUUCGAGCAUGGGAUUCACAAAAUCAUCACCAAAUAUUUCAGAUAAAGAGGCUAUAUACUCCUCUCAAUGAGGAGGGUGAAUGGAAUCACGACACUUCAAAAAGGAUUGGUGCCACGCUAAGGCGCCGUCCUCUAAGUUCAUGGCAACCAAGCGCACCCGUUGAUUGCAGGGAGUGUCAUCAAUGGGAAAAAAUUGUUCAACCCUAUACAACCAAGUUUUCAAAUUCUCCCAUGAUGAGCAGGAAAAGAGUUGCACCUAAAAUGCCCUGACCAGAUUGAGAUCCAUUGUCCUUAGCCGAUGAUGUCGCUGGAACAUCUUUUCCCCGUUGUGACAGUUGCAAACCGUCAAUUGAACCCUUCAGAGAGUUCACCAGCUGAAUAAGCUCACUGCGACUGCGAUCCAUGCCAUUACGCAACUCCUGAUGUCGUUAGUCUAGUAAGGCGCACAAGUCACCCUACUGAGCAGCGAGAUCUUCGUAUUGCUCCUGCAAGUCCGGAGCUAUGGAAGCUGAAGUACCAUCAGUAGGUUUACCACGAUCCAUAGGAUCGAUGCUUUGCUACCAAUUGAUACCAAAAACUGAUAUCGAUUGCAAAGAACAGAGUAACAGGAAGAGGGAUAGAAGAAGAGUAGAGAAGAGAAGAAGUUAGGAGAAGAGAAAAUAGAGAAGAUAGGGAAAGAGCUAGAGGAUAACUAUUUCAUUGACAUUCAAAAAGUGUGAUUACAACUUGAGGAGCUGCUACUUAUACUAUUUUGGAAAUAAAGGAAAUACAUAAAUGAGCUGGAAUUAACAAAAUGCAAAAAAUACCUAGUAACUAAUUUUCCCGCCAAAUAACUACUUUUGAUAUAAUUGAAUUUCCAGCCAAAUUAGGAUUUAAUCAGUAAUAGUUGUAUCAGUUUGUUUCAACAUAUGUUCGAUGAUUGUAAUGCUGAUGCGAAAGAUUGGUUUCUUAAGGA
rnacentral:lncRNA from 1 species